rnacentral:antisense_RNA from 1 species
GAUUUUUUUGAGGAUAUGGAGAUGCGCAGGACACAAUCCCAGCAAUCCAGGUGCUUACAGGCUGAUUAUACAGCCAUACACACAGAGUGCCACGACGCAAAAUAGGAUAUGGUAAGGGUCAUGCAAGUUCAGAGGAGAAAGCAAGUGUGGCUGAUAAACAUCACGGAGCAGUGACCUUCAUGGACAGACAGAAUUUGAGCUGGCCCUUUAACCAAUGAGGAGGAUUCAAACAGAGAGGUGUUUCCAGUUCUUCUCAAGUACUUACCCUUGGGAAAUCCAAGCUAACAGAAGUCCUAGAGGUCAAUUUUCUCUCCCUGACCAUUUGUCUACUCUCCUUGUAUAAUGACCAAUCAGGUUUGUAUUAUCCUGAGAAGAAAUUCCACUAAAGAUGAAUAGCAGAGAACUGUGUUCAGAAUACAAGUUCCACAAAGGUAGAGAUCUUGUCCCUCUGGCUACCUAUUGACUCUCCUGUGCCUAAUACAGUGCCUGAUUCAUACUACUCAAUAAAUACUUAUGGAAUGAAUGAAA